rnacentral:rRNA from 1 species
AGACACCAGGCAGAUCACGUCAAACAACCUUGAAUUAACAAGUAAAAACGCAGUGACCCCUAGCCCAUAUGUCUUUGGUUGGGGCGACCGCGGGGGAAAAUUAAGCCCCCAUGUGGACUGGGGGCACUGCCCCCACAGCCAAGAGCCACAGCUCUAAGCACCAGAAUAUCUGACCAAAAAUGAUCCGGCAAACGCCGAUCAACGGACCGAGUUACCCUAGGGAUAACAGCGCAAUCCUCUCCCAGAGUCCCUAUCGACGAGGGGGUUUACGACCUCGAUGUUGGAUCAGGACAUCCUAAUGGUGCAGCCGCUAUUAAG